GUCCACGCCGUAAACGAUGGGUGCUAGGUGUGGGGAGUGUCGACUCUCUCCGUGCCGAAGCUAACGCAUUAAGCACCCCGCCUGGGGAGUACGGCCGCAAGGCUAAAACUCAAAGGAAUUGACGGGGGCCCCGCACAAGCAGCGGAGCAUGUUGUUUAAUUAGACGCAACGCGAAGAACCUUACCAGGGCUUGACAUGCACGGGAAUGUCGUAGAGAUACGGCAGCCCUUCGGGGCUCGUGCACAGGUGUUGCAUGGCCGUCGU
rnacentral:rRNA from 1 species